UCAUUGUAUAAUCAACAUACAUAUUUAUUUAUAUUAUAUGCAUAUUAAAGAUUAUUCCACUCACCCGGAAAAUACUGAACUAAAGGAAUGUCAGACAAAAGACCCGAAAAUCCGAUUAAGGAUCGUUAGGAGAACCUACAAUAAAUAUAUGAAAUAUACUCAAAAACAGAUCAAACAAAAGAUCCCAAAGCAUAAAAUAAACCGGGCUUAAUCUCCCAAGUUUAGGGACUAAAACGACAAUUUUCCAAAACAGGGACCAAAACGUAAUUUUACCAAAUUUUGAGGACCGAAUGUAAAUAUAUAACCAUACUGAAAUUUACCAUAAUUAAUCCUCAAUUCUGUCCAGGAUAUAUCAUUAUGCUCCAAGGACCAUUCUGGAACUUUACCAAAUUUUUAGGGUCAAAUUAUACUUUUUGUCAAAUUGGAGGACCAAACUGAAAAUAUUAAUUAUACUGGAAUUUUGUCCUUAAAUCAUCCUCAGUUCUGUUCAGAACCUCAAUUUAUGCCCCAGGGACCAAUCUGUAAAAUUUCCAAAGUUCGGGGACUAAACUGCAAUUUCCAAAUUGAGGGACCAAACUGAAUUUUCGUCAUCUUCAACCUCAAACCCAGAAUUUCAACAGAUCACCUACUGUUAUUUCCAGAUUUAUACCUCAACUUCAUCAUUCAAUUCAACCAUAACUCAAAAUCAUCAUAUUUCUCUACAAUCUCUCCAAUUCAACUAAAUAAUCAAAUACCCACAUCAAUCAACCCCUUAAUUCAAACUAAUUCAUCAAUAAACUCAAAAUUCAAAACUCUAAAAUUAAUCAAAAACCGAAAUUUAAAGCUAAAGAAAACAUAUUAUACAUAUUCAAGCAUAAUUCUUACCCUUUUACUUGUUUUCUUCAACCUUUUCCUUUUUCCUUUAUUUUCCCCUGUUUUCUCUUCUUCUUCUUCUUCCUCUCUUCUCUCCUGCCGGUUCUCUCUCCAAAUUCAGAUCCUUCUUUUCUUUUUUUUUCUUAUAUAUAUUUAUCAACUAUUGGUCAAUUACCACACUACCCUUCAAUCAUUUAUACCCUCUUUUAAGCCUCCAAGGGCUUUAUUGUAUAUUCUCAUUCCUUUUUAUUACAAAACAUCACAAUAGCUGCCAACCCAGUUUUCCAUGAGCGGACUAGGCACAUUGAGAUGGACUGCCAUUUCAUUAGAGACAAGAUUCAAGACGGUUCAGUGAUCACGAGAUAUGUGAGUUCUACCCAUCAGCUAGCGGAUAUCCUGACCAAGUCUUUGGGAAAGGAAAGUUUCAUCCCUAUGAUUCGCAAGUUGGGAGUUCAGGAUAUCCACUCUCCAACUUGAGGGGGAGUGUUGACAAGAUAAAUGUUGACAUUAUCUUUAUAUAGAAAUAGAUAAUCAGUAUAUAUUAUUUUUCUAUUUUAGUUCCUAUAUUGUAGCUGAUUUUCCUGUAAUGUAGUUCCCAUUCCUAACUCAUAGGAAUGCCUUGGCUGUACAAAUACAUGACCUAACGUCUGUAUUCAUUCAUUCAUUCAAUAUACAUUGUUCUUCCAUCUUUUCACCUUCCCCGCAGCAUUUGCAGCUCCAGCACCAGUUGCCCUGACGGAUGUCGGAUAUAACUAGAUGGAAACGAUACCAGAAUAAAUCAAUUAUUCAGAAGCAAUUCUCCCUGCCCCUCAGAUGUGUGUGCAUAGGUUUCUAACAAAUGCAUUUUGGAGUCAAAAGUCAAAAGAAAAACGAUCACGGAAGUUAAGACUGAGAUGAUGGGAACAUUUUACCCAGUCAACAUCUUGCUACGGAUAAAAUGCCCUGAACAAAGUAUUAUAGGACUUACCUCGUGACCAUAUAUUGUAGCAACUGAGAGGGCUGCUUUGGUACUCAUUCGAGCUCCAAACAAGAAUGACAUCGUUAAUGUUGCAGACUGAUGGUAAACCAGAGGUAAAAGGAAGAUACCAGCCAAGACAAACGUAACAGCUACCGUAAGCUUGCGGCCAAUUCUAUCUACAAUAGUUGCUGACAAAACAAUCCCAGGAAGCUCUACAAUAGUAUAGAUUUAUAAGAAAACAUGUUAUAAUGCAUUGCUUAAUUUGGUAACUGUACAAGAAAGUUAGAGACACGAGAUAUAUAGUAUAUAUCACUUUGCAGAACAAUUCUCAAAAUGUCAAACAUUAAUUGCAUGGAGAUGAAGAGAGUAGGCAUGCAAUACCUGCCAAAUUAGAAAUAAAUACAUUUAUGUAGAGGCUGUCAGGAUUUUCUGAUUUCAAGAGAUUUGAGCCACAUCUGCUUUGCGCACUACUUAGCUCUGAAGUCAGCAAUAUGAUACCAUAAUAUGAGAAUACAUUUCCAAAGAGCAACUCCCAGAGAAGAAGUGUUGUUCGGAUUAGUUUUGAUGAGAAAAGCAUAAGAAAUGAUUGGAAUCCUGAUCUAAAAUCCAAAUCCAUUUUUUCAGUGGUGGAGAGGAGAGGGGUAUAUUCUGAUGUUGCAGACUCUUCAUCCAGUCCAAUUGUACUAUCAGGAACGAGCUCUCCUGGAGGGAGUUGUGAUUGGUUGAGCAGAGCUAUUUUCUCCAGAAUAUUAUAUGCAUCAUUUAUUCUGCCUUUCAUGCAUAGAUACCUUGGAGAUUCUGGUACAUGAGAAUAAAAGAGAAGCAGAGCAAAUGCUGGUAAACAGGAUACCGCGAGAAGCCAUCUCCAACCCAACCUUGCCAUCACCAUCUGCAAGAAUUACAGAAAAUACAAUUAAUUAUGAAGAAAAGAAUUCCCCGGGUGAUAAGACAUGUGAAGCAUAAAUGACUUUAAUAUCUGAACUCGUCCUCUCUUGUGAGUUUUGUGCAAUUUUAGCAUGCCCCAUGCUGCCCAGCUUGUGCAGACACUGCAAUGUAAUAUUAGCCGAGCAAUGUACCAAAAUAUCAGAUAAUGAUGAGGGAAAAUGGCCUUUAACACUUACUACCAUGAGCGUUUAUGAUAAAAUCAAGUUUUUUUCAGCUACUUUUGUUGUUCAGAAUUCUGGAAAUGGUACACACCCAUGCAAGUAAAGCCUCAAAAAUUGACCCAAAUGCCCAGAACCAUGAGAGUAGAAGCAUCCUUUGUCCUCUAUGUGAAGCGGGAACAAACUCUAGAAACCAGGAGCUGAAUACACUUCCACCACCCAGCCCGGAGCCAACCAAACAACGAAGAAUCACCAGAGAUGCAUAAUUUGGGGAGAAAGCACUCAACAAUCCAGCUCCACAAGUCAGAAGAGUUGCUCCUAGGAAACCCUUCCUGGAAAGACCAAAUGGAACUAAAACAACUUGUAAGACGAGGUAAAAUAUUUAACCAUGGGUUUGUAAGAGUCUAGUGCAAAGAUUCAAAUCCAAACGGAUGGUUUGAAAGAAAAACAUCGUAUUUGUACAGUAACAUCUUUAGCAGAAUGGAUCAACACUUGAUGGAAACUUGAUCUUUAGCUUUGAUGAUGUAAUGAGAAGGGUAUUUACAGAAUACUUGCCAGUUUGCCUAUUUGGAAAUCAUUUGCCCUUCAUAAACUUUAAAUUGGAAGCGAGCAUGACAGCCAAAAAUAAUAGGAAAACCACCAAAAUAUUGCAAAACUGUGUAAUUGAAACUUUGAAAGAGCAGAUUUUGUCAACCUAAAACCUUAAAUAGAGAAAGAUCUACCAUAGAAGCACCAGAAAAGUUCAAGUUUUUUCCAAAUUCCUGAAGCUAUACAAUAUACACAAAUAUAUCCAUACAGACAUUAUGAAGGAUUCUUAACUUUACACGUCAAGGAAACAGUGAAGAUUAUUAGCAAGGCACAGCAUAUAAUUAAUGCAAGGAAUAAGGGGGGAAAUGAUGGCUUGCCUCCUUCCAUGAUGAUCUGAAACGAGUCCCCAAAAAAAUGAUCCAAUAAACAUGCCACCAAAAACAGCAGUUGAUAGCAGACUCUCUUGGCUUGAUGAGAGAUCCCACUGGGACUUGACCGCCGGUCCCACAAAAGAGAGAAUCAUAACUUCCAUUGCUUCUGCAAUAAAAGCAAGUCCAGCAUAAACAAGCACGGGACGUUGGAAUUUCCCAAAUCCCACAGAAGCAAGAGCCUCAUCCACAGUGAAUACAAGGUUUUCCCCGUCCAUCUAUGUGGUGGCCGGUCAACAACAUACCAAAGAAAUCAAAAAAUUGUCACGGCCACAGGGUAACAAACAAACGAAAAAUUAUCAUGUUUUAUACAUAUUCAAUUAUUUCAAGAUUGAUUGCAUGAUCAUCAAGAAAUCUCAGCGCUUACCCUGACGGAGGUCUCAGCUGGCUCAUUCAUGGGCGUAGCAGUCAGAGAUCGAUGCUAUAUAUCACUGCUUUUACGUCAAAAAUCAAAUUACUUGUAGUUUCAACUCAAGAAAGAAGAUCAAUAGUGAAGUAUCAAUCAUUGAAAAAAACAAAAGACUGAAUACCUUACAGAAGCUGCCAACUGGAUAUAAGUUUAUGAAGCUUUACUUGUUAAUAACAAUUGCUUGGGUACACAUGGACACGAAUCAAACAACACGAAACACUAAUACUGCUGUGAUGCUUUCUUGGAAGAUGCAUAAAUGGAGCUGAGCUGCGCAUGAGAACAUAUAAUCAAGAAAAUAUGAACUAACCUGAAACUAGGAAAUGAUAGUCUUCUUUGCGCUAACAUAUAUACGGUUGUUACCAUUCCAAUUGUCCAGUACCUGGACAGGACAGGAUGACUCUUUCGGCUGAAAAGAAGGGAAAAUCGAUAAUUUGUGUGGAGUGAACUGCGGUUUAUGUAGCUGGACAGGACAGGAUGACUCUUUCAGUUGAAAAGAAGAGGAUACAAGAACACACACACACAUACAAGUUCUUGUAUCCUCUUCUUUUCAACUGAAAGAGUCAUCCUGUCCUGUCCAGCUACAUAUGCCGGUUGGUAAUAUAGAAGUUAUCGAAAUACAUGGCUAAACAUGGAAAAUGAGAAAAGUGAAGGCAUGGUCGGUGUGGCCAAAGUAAGAGUAUAGGCAAGGGCAGACAAGUGGAUCUCAUCAUCAGCUAGUUGCUCCACGUACCCAUAAACAGAUCGGUAAUAGUUCAUCGAUCCCAUGUUGAGAGUGUUGGCAUUGAAGUUAUUUUUUAAAAUGUUUUUUAUUUAAAAAAAUAUUAAAAUUAUAUUUAAAAAAAAAACUAUUUUUAAUAUUAACCCAUGAAAAUAAUUUGAAAAUAUAAAAAAUAAUAAUAUUAAUUUUAAGCAAAAAUACAAAAUAAAAUAAAUUUAUAUUUUUUUUAAAAAUAAUUUUAAAACACAAAACAAAAAGCAUUUUUUGUUAUGUAUAUACAAGAAAAACCCGUUUCUCUCCUCUCAAAUUCUCUGUAUAAAAAUGCGAAAGCUUCGGUGUCUAGUGAUUGAUUUUGUGGGAUGGAGAGGAAAUUGAGUAUCUGAGAAGAAGUAGAACUAGAAGAUGAGUAACAAUGUGCGGUUUUUAUAAUUUCUUGGUGUAGACAAGUUUUUGAGGAAGACGAAAAGAGUAUAGAAUUCACGAAAAUGGUAAAAAACAAGAACCCUACCCGUACUUCAUUUCUCAUCUGAGUUGAGAGAAAAGAUUACGGUAGCUUAAAUAGAUCUGCAGCGGACCAAAUCAAAAUGGAAGACGAACCUUAAUAGGAAAUUAAAUAAGAAGUAAUAAGACUGACAAAAAAAGCAUAUUCUGAGCUUAAUUUAAAAGCUUCCCAUGCCACGAACUAGUCACAAUGAGCUAAUCCAUCAUUGAACUUGUAGAAUUUCCUCAAUGAUCUAAUCAAAGGUUACGUCCAGUUUUUCAUAUAUAUUAUUUGACACAGCCAGGCCUCUUCUUCUUGAGCUUUGACCUGUACAUUUGAUUCAAAAAUGUAUAUGAUAAGCUUUGUACGUAAUCGAAAUCAAAAUAUCCGUAGCCGACUAUUCAAUCCUUCUGCAUUAGCUACAGUGCCAUACAACCAGUGCCGAUCUCGAUCAUCGAAAAAAAGAACAAGAAAAGGGGAAAAAAACAACUAUGAACAAGGUAUGUUUAGAGCAUAUGAUACAUAUGCAUGUUAUGAACAUUUUGCAAAUAUAACUAUGAACAAAUACCUUGUUUAAGCCUGCAGAUAAACCACUCUUGGCAGGAAAGAACGUUAAGCCUGCACUGAAGCAAUUUCGGUUGGAAUAACCCAAAAAGAUAAGAGAAACUAGAAUUUCUCUUUUGAAAAACAUAUAUAAAAAUGACCAGAACACUGAAAAUGCAUGGUUCAUGGUGUUUAUGCAGGCUGUAAACCAAUUGUUUUUGCUCUCUUUACUGCAUCCUCUCUUCUAUUAAUGUGACUAUUCUGAAUUUCUGACACUCUGCCAAUGGUUAAUUCCACGACUGGUCGUCUACUCGGCAUUAAAUUUAACACACUUCAUAUGAUGCCCACGUAGGCAGCAAGCAUAUUAAAAUUUAGACCUGCAAAUUAAUUAAGAGCACCCUUUGGACAGCACCCUUACACCUUUGGAGAGCAACAAUGCUUCAUUUGCACUUAAGAUCUCGGACUAGCGGGGGACUUAUUCCCUUCAUCUGCAUUCUAGGUUCAAAUCUCACCGUGCAUGCUUGUCAUUCUCGCGAUGUCUUAGAUGCUCACUAGGUUUGCAGAAUGUUCAGUAAGCUAUGAGAAAUUAAUCGUGAUGCACGCAAGUUGACCCGAACACCAACGUAAAUAAAUAAAACAAUGCUUCAUGUGACUUCAUCAACCCGUUCCUCUAUCAUCACACGAAAAAUUAUGCAACCACACCGUUAAAAAUUGAAAAGCAUGAUAUUACUGUGCGAGAUUCAUUGAUAGACAAAGCUAAUCACGACGGGUUACAGUGAUUCAAGUCAAUAUAUUUUGAUGUUUUAUAGCUAGCGACUUGUCAUUUCAGAGCUUGUUGCUCUAGCUCCAUAGAUGUUCAAUGAGAGGAGAAAUGAAAAAGAAUUCAACUCCUGAAUUUGAACUGGUAAGGCAAGAAAGUAAAUGAUACAUGUCGCCUCGUACUCUGCUAUACAUGGUUAAAUCAACCUUGCGCGACGAGGGAAUAGGCAUGCAUAAAGGAUUAGCAUUUGCUCUCCCUUCCUGGACAGCCGAUUUUGCAGAACCGUGAUCUGAUACAUGUACUUCCUGUUCUAAACAAUCAAAUAGGAAGUACAAGAAAAUACAUCUAGUUUCCACUGCUUGAAUGGGUAUAAAUUUGCUACCCAACAACAACUACUUGUUUUCGAUCAGAUGCAGCUAAACUGUCACUCAAUUCCCGCCCACUGGUCUCAAAUUGGAAGAGCAGGACACAGAAUACUGAAACAACAAUCACAAACUCGAACAAAAUGAUAGCUUCCUUAAGGUGGCAACCCGUCACUAGUCCAACUGCCACAAGAGGGCAUACCAUGCCACCAAUCCUCCCUACAGCACUUGCAACUCCUGCCCCAGUUGCCCUAAUAGCCGUUGGAUACACCUAGAGAAAAAGGAAAUUACCACAAAUAAAUUAUUUAAAACCAGUUCAAAGGUCAUCUUAAAGGUGCUUGAAGCAAAUCGGAAUGGCAUUAAGCACAAUGGAAAAGUAACCAACUUCCAGGGGUUAUGACUAUGUUAUUGGCUAAUUCUAAUGAAGACAGGGUUACAGCAAAAUCACCUUCCAAAUGCAAUGACAUAUUAUUCCUAUUAAUGGAUUCAAGAUAGAAUAAUGAAGGAUCAAUUCAAAGGAUGCAGCAACUUGACGAUGGACAAGAAACAGACCAAUUUCGUAGAAUUCAAAACAGCAUCUUUUUAAGAGCAGUAGCAAUUCAUUUUGUAUGCUGACUAACUAUGAUGAGAGUUAUUCACUCCCAAAAGACUCCAGAAUCAUUCCCGUAUAUAAAUAAAAUAGAGGAAACAUUUAAGAUUAGCAUGAAAAGAGACAAGGAUGUAUAUUUCUACUAGCCAAUCUUAGCAGAUAAGAGAGCGGAUUACAUUCUUAACCAUAUUCCUAUAUUCGCCAAUUGCCGAUUGAUCAAUCUAUGGUUUUAUUAGCAAGAAAAAUAAGCAACAAGAACAGAGAGAACAAGGGUGGUGAGAAAGGGAUUCCAGAACAAGAGAUGAACAUUUUCAACUUCUGAGACUUGAACUUCAGAAAAAAAAUUAUGUCAAUCAGCGUUCUGCUAUGGUCAGAAUCAACCUCGGGCAUGCAAUGAGUUGGCAGUGUUGAAAUAAUUAAGAUGAAACACAAAAAUAAAACUAGAAUUCUGAAUAAUCUGUAUAUUAGGAGUUCAUAAUCUUAACUUAAAUACAAAUAAAAUAUAUAUAUGUUAAACUGAAAGUACUAUUCUAUUCUUAAUAAAUAAGAUUACAUAAAUAUUAUUUAAGCAGAUAUUUAUCUAAUGUAAGGAAUCAAAAUACAAUUCUUUUCUACAAUGGUGGAAGGGGUAGAAUUCACUGCCCAACGACAACCUGUUUUGAAUCAGAUACAUCUAUGCUGUCGCACAAUUUCUGUCCCUUGGUAUCAACUGGGAUGAACAUGACACAGACUGCUGAAACAGCCAUCAGGACCUCAAACAGGAUGAUGGCUUCUGUAAUCUGGCAGCUAGUCACCACGCCAACUGCCACAAGAGGACAUAUCAUGCCACCAACCUUCCCCGCAGCAUUUGCAGCUCCAGCACCAGUUGCCCUGACGGAUGUCGGAUAUAACUAGAUGGAAACGAUACCAGAAUAAAUCAAUUAUUCAGAAGCAAUUCUCCCUGCCCCUCAGAUGUGUGUGCAGAGGUUUCUAACAAAUGCAUUUUGGAGUCAAAAGUAAAAAGAAAAACGAUCACGGAAGUUAAGACUGAGAUGAUGGGAACAUUUUACCCAGUCAACAUCUUGCUACGGAUAAAAUGCCCUGAACAAAGUAUUAUAGGACUUACCUCGUGACCAUAUAUUGUAGCAACUGAGUAGGCUGCUUUGGUACUCAUUCGGGCUCCAAACAGGAAUGACAUCGUUAAUGUUGCAGACUGAUGGUAAACCAGAGGUAAAAGGAAGAUACCAGCCAAGACAAACGUAACAGCUACCGUAAGCUUGCGGCCAAUUCUAUCUACAAUAGUUGCUGACAAAACAAUCCCAGGAAGCUCUACAAUAGUAUAGAUUUAUAAGAAAACAUGUUAUUAUGCAUUGCUUAAUUUGGUAACUGUACAAGAAAGUUAGACACACGAGAUAUAUAGUAUAUAUCACUUUGCAGAACAAUUCUCAAAAUGUCAAACAUUAAUUGCAUAGAGAUGAAGAGAGUAGGCAUGCAAUACCUGCCAAAUUAGAAAUAAAUACAUUUAUGUAGAGGCUGUCAGGAUUUUCUGAUUUCAAGAGAUUUGAGCCACAUCUGCUUUGCCCACUACUUAGCUCUGAAGUCAGCAAUAUGAUACCAUAAUAUGAGAAUACAUUUCCAAAGAGCAACUCCCAGAGAAGAAGUGUUGUUCGGAUUAGUUUUGAUGAGAAAAGCAUAAGAAAUGAUUGGAAUCCUGAUCUAAAAUCCAAAUCCAUUUUUUCAGUGGUGGAGAGGAGAGGGGUAUAUUCUGAUGUUGCAGACUCUUCAUCCAGCCCAAUUGUACUAUCAGGAACAAGCUCUCCAGGAGGGAGUUGUGAUUGGUUGAGCAGAGCUAUUUUCUCCAGAAUAUUAUAUGCAUCAUUUAUUCUGCCUUUCAUGCAUAGAUACCUUGGAGAUUCUGGUACAUGAGAAUAAAAGAGAAGCAGAGCAAAUGCUGGUAAACAGGAUACCGCGAGUAGCCAUCUCCAACCCAACCUUGGCACCACCAUCUGCAAGAAUUACAGAAAAUACAAUUAAUUACGAAGAAAAGAAUUCCCCGGGUGAUAAGACAUGUGAAGCAUAAAUGACUUUAAUAUCUGAACUCGUCCUCUCUUAUGAGUUUUGUGCAAUUUUAGCAUGCCCCAUGCUGCCCAGCUUGUGCAGACACUGUAAUGUAAUAUUAGCCGAGCAAUGUACCAAAAUAUCAGAUAAUGAUGAGGGAAAAUGGCCUUUAACACUUACUACCAUGAGCGUUUAUGAUAAAAUCAAGUUUUUUUCAGCUAAUUUUUUUGUUCAGAAUUCUGGAAAUGGUACACACCCAUGCAAGUAAAGCCUCAAAAAUUGACCCAAAUGCCCAGAACCAUGAGAGUAGAAGCAUCCUUUUUCCUCUAUGUGAAGCGGGAACAAACUCUAGAAACCAGGAGCUGAAUACACUUCCACCACCCAGCCCGGAGCCAACCAAACAACGAAGAAUCACCAGAGAAGCAUAAUUUGGGGAGAAAGCACUCAACAAUCCAGCUCCACAAGUCAGAAGAGUUGCUCCUAGGAAACCCUUCCUGGAAAGACCAAAUGGAACUAAAACAACUUGUAAGACGAGGUAAAAUAUUUAACAAUGGGUUUGUAAGAGUCCAGUGCAAAGAUUCAAAUCCAAACGGAUGGUUUCAAAGAAAAACAUCGUAUUUGUACAGUAACAUCUUUAGCAGAAUGGAUCAACACUUGAUGGAAACUUGAUCUUUAGCUUUGAUGAUGUAAUGAGAAGGGUAUUUACAGAAUACUUGCCAGUUUGCCUAUUUGGAAAUCAUUAGCCCUUCAUAAACUUUAAAUUGGAAGCGAGCAAGACAGCCAAAAAUAGUAGGAAAACCACCAAAAUAUUGCAAAUCUGUGUAAUUGAAACUUUGAAAGAGCAGAUUUUGUCAACCUAAAACCUUAAAUAGAGAAAGAUCUACCAUAGAAGCAUCAGAAAAGUUUGUGCAAGUUUUUUCCAAAUUCCUGAAGCUAUACAAUAUACAUAAAUAUAUCCAUACAGACAUUAUGAAGGAUUCUUAACUUUACACGUCAAGGAAACAGUGAAGAUUAUUAGCAAGGCACAGCAUAUAAUUAAUGCAAGGAAUAAGGGGGGAAAUGAUGGCUUGCCUCCUUCCAUGGAGAUCUGAAACGAGUCCCCAAAAAAAUGAUCCGAUAAACCUGCCACCAAAAACAGCAGUUGAUAGCAGACUCUCUUGGCUUGAUGAGAGAUCCCACUGGGACUUGACCGCCGGUCCCAUAAAAGAGAGAAUCAUAACUUCCAUUGCGUCUGCGAAUAAAGCAAGUCCAGCAUAAACAAGCACGAGACGUUGGAAUUUCCCAAAUCCCACAGAAGCAAGAGCCUCAUCCACAGUGUAUACAAGGUUUUCCCCGUCCAUCUUUGUGGUGGCCGGUCAACAACAUACCAAAGAAAUCAAAAAAUUGUCACGGCCACAGGGUAACAAACAAACGAAAAAUUAUCAUGUUUUAUACAUAUUCAAUUUCAAGAUUGAUUGUAUGAUCAUCAAGAAAUCUCAGCGCUUACCCUGACGGAGGUCUCAGCUGGCUCAUUCAUGGGCGUAGCAGUCAUAGAUCGAUGUUAUAUAUCACUGCUUUUACGUCAAAAACCAAAUUACUUGUAGUUUCAACUCAAGAAAGAAGAUCAAUAGUGAAGUAUCAAUCAUUGAAAAAAACAAAAGACUGAAUACCUUACAGAAGCGGCCAACUGGAUAUAAGUUUAUGAAGCUUUACUUGUUAGUAAUAAUUGCUUGGGUACACAUGGACACGAAACAAACAGCACGAAACACUAAUACUGCUGCGAUACUUUCUUGGAAGAUGCAUAAAUGGAGCUGAGCUGCGCAUGAGAACAUAUAAUCAAGAAAAUAUGAACUAACCUGAAACUAGGAAAUGAUAGUCUACGGUUGUUACCAUUACAAUUGUCCAGUACCUGGACAGGACAGGAUGACUUUUCGGUUGAAAAGAAGGGAAAAUCGAUAAUUUGUGUGGAGUGAACUGCGGCAAAUGUAGCUGGACAGGACAGGAUUACUCUUUCAGUUGAAAAAAAGAGGAUAUAAGAACAUAUAUAUAUACGGUUGUUACCAUUACAAUUGUCCUGUACCUGGACAGGACAGGAUGACUCUUUCGGCUGAAAAGAAGAGGAUAUAAGAACACACACACACACAUAUAUAUAGUACGAGGUUGGUAAUAUAGAAGUUAUCGAAAUACAUGGCUAAACAUUGAAAAUGAGACAAGCGAAGGCAUGGUUGGUGUGGCCAAAGUAAGAGUAUAGGCAAGAGCAAACAAGUGGAUCUCAUCAUCAGCUAGUUGCUCCACGUACCCAUGAACAGAUCAGUAACAGUUCAUCGAUCCCACAUUGAGAGUUGAGUGUGAGAGUGUUUGCUUGCUAUUAUUUAUUUUUUAAAAUAUUAUUUAUUUAAAAAUAUUAAAAUAAUAUUUUUUUAAAAAAUUAUUUUUAAUAUGAAUAUAUUUUAUCAAAAUAUCUGAAAAUAUAAAAAAAUAAUAUUAUUAAUUUUAAGCAAAAAUAAAAAUAAAAUAAAUUUAUUUUUUAAAAAAAAUAUUUUUAAAACACAAAAACAAAUAGCAUUUUUUGGUAUGUAUAAACAAGAAAAACCCGUUUCGCUCCUCUCAAAUUCUCUGUAUAAAAAUGCGAAAGCUUUGGUGUCUAGUGAUUGAUUUUGUGGGAUGGAGAGGAAAUUGAGUAUCUGAGAAGAAGUAGAACUAGAAGAUGAGUAACAACGUGCAGUUUCUAUAAUUUCCUGGUGUCGACAAGUUUUUGACUUGUCUACUGACACAAUCAAACCUAAGUAGAUUAAGAAUCAAAGAAGACAAGAGUAUAGAGUUAAGAGUUGGCCUUUUCAUCCAAAUUUCUUUGUUUUCAACUUACAUGAGACUUCAUCAACCAGUUCUUUGAUCAUCACAGGAAACAAUAUGCAACAACACCGUUAAAAAUUGAAAUUGAUAGACAAAGCUAAUCACGAUGGCUUACAGUGAUUUAAGUCAAUAUAUUUUGAUGUUUUAUAGCUAGAGACUUGUCAUUUCAGAGCUUGUUGCUCUAGUUCCAUAGAUGUUCAAUGAGAGGAGAAAUGAAAAAGAAUUCAACUCCUGAAUUUGAACUGGUAAGGCAACAAAGUAAAUGAUACAUGUCGCCUCGUACUCUGCUAUACAUAGUUAAAUCAACCUUGCGCGACGAGGGAAUAGGCAUGCAUAUUUAUCUAUGUUAAAGGAUUAGCAUUUGUUCUCCCUUCCUAGACACAGCCGAUUUUGCAGAACCGUGAUCUGAUACAUGGACUUCCUAUUCUAAACAAUCAAAUAGCAAGUACAAGAAAAUACAUCUAGUUUCCACUAUGCUCGAAUGGGUAUAAAUUUGCUACCCAACAACAACUUCUUGUUGUGGAUCAGAUGCAGCUAAACUGUCACUCAAUUCCCGCCCACUGGUCUCAAAUGGGAAGAGCAGGACACAGACUACUGAAAUAACAAUCACAACCUCGAACAAAAUGAUAGCUUCCUUAAGAUGGCAACCCGUCACAAGUGCAACUGCCACAAGAGGGCAUACCAUGCCACCAAUCCUCCCUACAGCACUUGCAACUCCUGCCCCAGUUGCCCUAAUAGCCGUUGGAUACACCUAGAGAAAAAGGAAAUUACCACAAAUAAAUUAUUUAAAACCAGUUCAAAGGUCAACUUAAAGGUGCUUGAAGCAAAUCGGAAUGGCAUUAAGCACAAUGGAAAAGUAACCAACUUCCAUGGGUUAUGACUAUGUUAUUGGCUAAUUCUAAUGAAGACAGGGUUACAACACAAUCACCUUCCAAAUGCAAUGACAUAUUAUUCCUAUUAAUGGAUUCAAGAUAGAAUAAUGAAGGAUCAAUUCAAAGGAUGCAGCAACUUGACGAUGGACAAGAAACGGAUCAAUUUUGUAGAAUUCAAAACAGCAUCUUUUUAAGAGCAGUAGCAAUUCAUUUUGUAUGCUGACUGACCAUGAUGAGAGUUAUUCACUCCCAAAAGACUCCAGAAUCAUUCCCAUAUAUAAAUAAAACAGAGGAAACAUUCAAGAUUAGCAUGAAAAGAGACAAGGAUGUAUAUUUCUACUAGCCAAUCUUAGCAGAUAAGAGAGUGGAUUACAUUCUUAACCAUAUUCCUAUAUUCGCCAAUGGCCGAUUGAUCAAUCUAUGGUUUUAUUAGCAAGAAAAAUAAGCAACAAGAACAGAGAGAACAAGGGUGGUGAGAAAGGGAUUCCAGGAACUUGCAUUUUCUAAUAAAUAAAUAUAUUAUUUUAAUAUAUAUAAAUAAAAAAAACAAUUUAAAAAUCAGAUGGACCGAGCAGGCUCAUAAUUGGGCCUAGGAAAUGCGUUUUUCUUCACCAUGCCCUUGCACGUCACGCGCCCAUUGAAGUCACAAGCCCAAGACUUGGCAGGCGAGGCCCAUUAAGGCCACCAGCUCAAGACCGAUUCGCCAUAAAAUUUAGAAAAUGAGAGGUAAUUUGAUUUGGUUGAGGAGGUGGCCAAAACAUUUUGAGGAGAAGAAACUGAUGGAUUCGAGAAUUGUGAAAUUCAAGUAAAAAAAGAAGAAUAGAGCUGUAGAUUAAAAGAAAGAAAGACCUGUUGAUAAACCAUUUACAGACACAACACAAGGAGUUCAAAAUCAUCCAGCUAGUUACUUGAUAAGAUUCCCUAUUUUUCUCACGUUUGUUUCCUUUUUAUGCUCUUCACAGUUUACUUGUGCAGUUAUAAAAACAAUGGAAAACUAUACAGAACAAUGUGAAAACUAUAGUUAAUCAAAAGUCAUCUUCUGUCUUCCUAUCUCAUCUGAAUGGAAUCUUUAGUAGUUUUUCCAGUAGAUCCUCCUUCCUCUCAAUGAAUUGUAUGUCUAGGUGUGCGCACACAUGUACAAGAUAGAUCAAGAAAGCAUCCAUCAUCUUCUUUCUCGAUGAAUUUUAAUUAUUCCUUCCUUUUCUUUUUUCUAUUUCAAUAUGAACUUGGAAUUAAAAUGGUUAUAUCUCUUUUCCAUUAUCAUAGGAUUUGUAAUCUCGGAUUGUAUGGAUAAGAAAUUGGGAGCUGGAAUGUAGGAAUUAUUUGACCUCGUACUUGUGUGUACAAUCUUCUCCUCUCCCUGUAUCUACUCAAAUGCAUGGGAGCUUUAUGAAAGUGAAGUUUGUUUCCGCUAUUCAUGUUAUUGCUAGAAAUUGUCGAGAAGAAUAUAUUUGUUCCUCUUUAAUGUUCAUAAAUCUCUAAUAAAUUUUGCACAUCAUUUUUUUCCAAACUUAUUUUUAAAUCUAUCACUUAAAUAUUGCAUGGCGAAGUAAAAUGGUUUUUAUACAUGAAGCUGACAGACUUCACGAAGGAUGUUUACAGUUGAUGCUGAUUCUAAAUUUACUUUAUGUAUUCUCUCAUCAAUGAUUACUUGUGUGUCUAUUAUCAGGUGAGGGACGAGAUUGAACAUCUAUUAGAUGACAGUGAAGACAUAGCAGAUUUAUAUUCGCCAAGGAAAUGGAUUCAGAAUCAGCAAUCUGAUUCCUUGGUCGGAGCUGCGGCUUCAGGUAGCAUAAUCCCUGCUAUACCACGUCUCCCUCGAGUUGGCUCUAACCGGAGUGCAAGUAUGGUGGCUGGCAGCGUUUUGGAUGAUGAUGGUGUAGAGGAUUCUAGCCUUUUCUAACCGGGGUGCAUCCUUUUUUGGCUGUGAUUAGUUAUUUUAUCCUUGACUGUAUCGAUUUAGCUUGUUUAAGUUUUUAUAGGCAGUCCUGCCUCCAUAAGAGAAGAAAAUAGUUGUCACGACCCGAAUCCCAGAUCCGUGACCGGCAACGUACGAGCGGUGUCGAAAGGACACCUCACCUACGCUAAGCCUCAGAACGGACAUAUCAAAAGAACAAUUUGUUCAAAAAUACGCAGCGGCUCAUAAUAUUCAGAAAUAUUAUAUUAUUCAAAUACUGAUGAAACCGAAAGAUAGUUAUUAAAACAAAAAUAAUAAUUCAUAAUACUCAUUACAUUGUCAAAAUCCAAAUUUAAUUAAACCAAGGUAACAGUGGAGCGUCUAAGACAUCAAAACAAAACUGAAAGGGAAGCCUCGCGAACAAGCAAGGCAUACCGACCAGAACAGAAGAAGCGGAAACACUCAACAAAGUCUCAGAAACUAAGAACCUGAAAUAAUAUUAAAAAAAUGAGGGUGAGUUCAACCAACUCAGUGAGGGAAUAACAUUUAAUAUACAUUUCAGAUAUUUCAGAUAUUAAUAAUUUGUAAGAUGAUGUAUCUUAAUAUACAUAUACAUAUACUUACUAAACAUAAUAUCAUAACGUAACAUAUUAUCAUAACGUAGUGGAUUACAUGUCAGAGAUCAGAUGACACCCGAAGGUGACCAGAUGACACCCGUCGGUGACCAGAUGACACCCGUCGGUGACCACUGUGGGAUGAUCAAUCACCACAGGCUGAUGCCUCUCUCACCAGCUAGGUAACAGAAUACUAUGUGCACACAUGCUAACUAUUCUCCGUUAGCAUGGAGUUACUGACAAGUCCCGUAUCAAGGCAUAAUAGAUAUUCACAGAAUCAUCAAAGAAACGUAUAUCAUAUCAAAUAGAAUUUACUUUGACAGAUUGCGAGUGCAAAUUCAAGAAUAAAUGAGUACUCGAAAUAUAAAGCAACAUAUAUAAAUAUUCAAGAAAUUUACUAGUUGUACUCAUUGUAUAAUCAACAUACAUAUUUAUUUAUAUUAUAUGCAUAUUAAAGAUUAUUCCACUCACCCGGAAAAUACUGAACUAAAAGGAAUGUCAGACAAAAGACCCGAAAAUCCGAUUAAGGAUCGUUAGGAGAACCUACAAUAAAUAUAUGAAAUAUACUCAAAAACAAUCAAACAAAAGAUCCCAAGCAUAAAAUAAACCGGGCUUAAUCUCCCAAGUUUAGGGACUAAAACGACAAUUUUCCAAAAAGGGACCAAAACGUAAUUUUACCAAAAUUUUGAGGACCGAACUGUAAAUAUAUAACCAUACUGAAAUUUAUCCAUAAUUAAUCCUCAAUUCUGUCCAGGAUAUAUCAUUAUGCUCCAAGGACCAUUCUGGAACUUUACCAAAUGUUUAAGGUCAAAUUAUACUUUUUGUCAAAUUGGAGGACCAAACUGAAAAUAUUAAUUAUACUGGAAUUUUGUCCUUAAAUCAUCCUUAGUUCUGUUCAGAACCUCAAUUUAUGCCCCAGGGACCAAUCUGUAAAAUUUCCAAAGUUCGGGGACUAAACUGCAACUUUCACAAAUUGAGGGACCAAACUGAAUUUUCAUCAUCUUCAACCUCAAACCCAGAAUUUCAACAGAUCACCUACUGUUAUCCCCUGAUUUCUAACAUAAUUUCACCAUUUAAAUAAAAUCAUAACUCAAAAUCAUUAUCUUUCAAUUCAAUCUCUCAAAAUCAACUAAUUAAUCAAAUACACACAAUAAUCAACUCCUAACCUUCAAAUUAAUUCAUCAAUUAACUCAAAAUACAAACUUCAAAACUCUCAAAAUUAAUCAAAACCGAAAUUUAACAUAUUAUACACUUAAAACCAUAAAUCUUACCUUUUUACUUAUUUCCUCUACUUCUUUUCUCCUUUCUUUCCUUCUCUCCUUUCUUUUCUUCUUCUUCCUCUUUUCUUCUCUUCUCCCG
rnacentral:lncRNA from 1 species